GGCAGCCAUCUGCUUCCCGCGGCUCAGGACCCACCGCUGCUGAGGCACGGAGGAGGAUGGGCUCGUGGGGAUCACAGGUGGAUCCGGCUGAUGAGUUUAAAAAGGGGUUUUCCCUCUCGCGCUCGUCGGCUGUGGACGAGAAUGUGGGUGUGUGC